rnacentral:rRNA from 1 species
CGGAGGGGCGUAGCGUUGUUCGGAAGUUAACUUGGGCGGUAAAGACGCGCGUAGGCGGCUUUGUUAAGUUAGAGGUGAAAGACCCGGACGCUCAACUACCGGAACUGCCUUUAAGUACUGCAUCGCUAGAAUUGUGGAGAGGUAAGUGGAAUUCCGAGUGUAGAGGUGAAAUUCGUAGAUAUUCGGAAGAACACCAGUGGCGAAGGCGACUUACUGGACACAUAUUGACGCUGAGGUGCGAAAGCGUGGGGAGCAAACAGGAUU